rnacentral:rRNA from 1 species
AGUGAACGCUGGCGGUAGGCCUAACACAUGCAAGUCGAACGGCAGCACAGUAAGAGCUUGCUCUUACGGGUGGCGAGUGGCGGACGGGUGAGGAAUACAUCGGAAUCUACUUUUUCGUGGGGGAUAACGUAGGGAAACUUACGCUAAUACCGCAUACGACCUACGGGUGAAAGCAGGGGAUCUUCGGACCUUGCGCGAUUGAAUGAGCCGAUGUCGGAUUAGCUAGUUGGCGGGGUAAAGGCCCACCAAGGCGAGGAUCCGUAGCUGGUCUGAGAGGAUGAUCAGCCACACUGGAACUGAGACACGGUCCAGACUCCUACGGGAGGCAGCAGUGGGGAAUAUUGGACAAUGGGGGCAAGCCUGAUCCAGCCAUACCGCGUGGGUGAAGAAGGCCUUCGGUUUGUAAAGCCCUUUUGUUGGGAAAGAAAAGCAGCAGGUUAAUACCCCGCUGUUCUGACGGUACCCAAAGAAUAAGCACCGGCUAACUUCGUG